GCCCAGGUGGUGGAAUUGGUAGACACGCAGGACUUAAAAUCCUGUUAUCAUUGCGAUAGUGCGGGUUCAAGUCCCGCCCCGGGUA
rnacentral:tRNA from 2 species